rnacentral:misc_RNA from 1 species
CAGUUAACUUCAACGGUUCUUCGUUUCUCCGGUGAUCUUUUCGUGUCUGUAUCCGUGUUUCCCUUUCUCAAACCUGUGCUUCUGUCUAUCUCGCUCUCUCCAGCAAGGCACAUCGCCUUCACAGAGAUCUCUGUGUUCGUGUCUCGUUUCGGAGACGAAACCACCGUGGCUUGCGUUGUGUGCUCCUCCAUCGUGGUGCGUCGCGUCUCUCGCGUUUUUUCCGUUACAACUGUCCCCCCCCCUUCGGCACUCAUCAUCGCCAUUCCUCUCUGCACGCGUGUGCACGCGACCGCCAUCCACGCAAGCGCAUUUUUUUUCUACGGGGCGCUCAGGGACCAAAAUUGACAGCGAGCUUGCUAUUCGGCUUUUUCUACGAUUUUUGUUUGCUGUUUGAGACCUGCUUUUCUGACUCUUCUUCUUUCUGUCGUUGUAUCACACUUGCGUAUACCCAUCCACCUCACCCUCCAUCGCUGUGUGCGCGUGUUGCCACUCAACAAGAAGGGAGACGCCCUCAAAGUUCCUUCUCCGCUACGCUGCCCGGAGACGUGUAAGCGUUCUGGGGGAGUGAUAGGGAGAAGCACAAGACCGAACGAGAAGCGAAAGAGAGACGGAAAGCACCCCUGCAGGACUCAAUCACGGAGUGCAACAUCAACAGAGGAGCCCACACACACACACACGUAAACAAACAGACCUGCUGGUGCCCACUAACUGCUUUGAUUGACGUUGGUGAUUUUGGGUAGAACACACUUGCGCUCACUGACGCCACCCUUCUUUUUUUUCCAACGUGUUAGGAGACUCUUCUUCGUACUCUUCAUUAGUCCUUUUUUUUUCGCGUUUCGCGUUUCGCGUUUUGCUCUCUCUCUCAUCCUUGUUUUGACCUUCUUUUUGUUGCGCGCCUCUUUUUCUGUGUCUUCGCACCCAUUUUCUUUUGUCCUCUUCCUUGUGCGUGUUUUUGUUUCCGUGAUUUCAACUGGUUGCUGUUUUCGAGUUUUUGAUCCGCGCUAACUCCACGACGGACACUCUUACUCUCUCUUGUGCCACCUCCGUUGAAACCUUCAUUUCCAUCUCCCUCCCUCCUGCCUCCAGCUGACUUUUUUGAGAUUUGCUUCUCGUGCGCUUCUUUCGCUCUCUCCGUCUCGCUCCUUUUUCUUCGUCUUUUUUUUUUCGCGGUGCUGACGCUCAACACAUCUCUUCUUCUUGUUUGUUGUUUGAAGUUCGCAGGAGAGAAAAUAAGCACUGAAAAAAGAAAAAAAACAUAAACGGAAAAGGUGCAUAAGAUAGUCGUUGUCUCCAAAGACAGAUACUGGCUUUUUAUUCCUGUAUUUGUGCGUCUGUUCUCCCCCCUCCCCACUGCGCACGCGCGUGUGUGCGUGUGUCUCUCUUCGUUUUUCCUCUCUUCUCUUGUUUGUACCCCUCUUCAUCCCACCAUCCCUCGUUGUGUGUUUUCGUUUGUUUGUGUGGGUGGUUACCAGACCCUCAACCCCUCUCCCUCUUUCUAUUUACCGCCUUGUUUCUUUUCCCCCUUCUUUCUCUUUCCUUGCUCUUGCUGUUUUGUCGUACGUCUUUCUUCUUUAGAACCUCCUUUUCUCCCCUUUUUUGUGCUUUCCCUCGUCCCCUCUCUGCGGGGGGGAGUUACUUCUUCUUCGCUUGUUGCGACUUCACUGGCUGCUUUUCUUUUCGUCGCUAAUUUCCCUCUUCUCUUUGUUUGGCCAUCCGCCGAGCCCAGAAGACUGUUCACUGUUUCUUCCCUUCUCUAGAAAGGAAAGGAGUAUUCAGGGCGAACUUCCUUCGCGUGAGUCUUCUUUUUCAGUUGUUCCAUGUGUUUGUGUGUCUGUGUUCAGAGUGUAUCUUCUCAGUCGAUUUCCCUCUUAUCCCCAUUGCCCACACACGAAGAAAAAGCAAACGACCGCGAACAAAACUACUUGUAUUAUUGUGGUUUUUCUCGAGCACGGGCCGCAUCUUUAUUAUUAUUUCUCCCCCCUAUCGCCUUCGUAUAGUGCACCAUCACAAGUGCUCCACCAUAUCGUUCACGUUCUCGUUCUCAGCAGCUGAAAUUUCAAACACACACACACACACGGACAGCAUCAGCAGUAACACCGAAAAGAAAACACAGCUGGCUGCACUGGAGACUUCGCUAGUUUUAUUAUUCAUAGUAGUAGUCGCAACAUUCAACACAGCAAGAAUCGGGAGAAGGCAGAGCUCAUCUUUUUUUUUCCACACGUGUGUCUUGUGUUGCCUCCUCUUCGGUCUCUUUUUAUUUUCUGUAGUCUUUGGCAACUUCUUUCCAUUUCCGGAUUUUUUCCGCUCUCUUUUUGGUACCUUCCGACAGGUUCCACACCUACGGCCGACAAACAAGAACUUCACUUCUGCAUGCCACGCCAGCGCAGACGCGGUGCCAGCUUUCGGGGAGUUUACUGCCCCGAUGCGUUCCCUUUAAGCCUCGAGGAGUCUGUGACGGAGACGGCAGAGGUGUUCCGUCGCUCUCCAUCCAUCACGGCGUCGGGAGAGUACCUUGUCCCUCCAAAGCCCACAGAGAUUAAGAAUCGCCUGACCGUCGUGCUCGACCUUGAUGAGACGCUCAUCUACGCGCGCCAAGGACCACUCUAUGUACGCCCUGGCAUCGAGACGCUGAUGCGCUUCCUCGCCGACCACUGCGAGACAAUCGUAUGGACCUCCAGCAAGCACCGGUACGCAGACGCGGUCGUGGCGCAGAUCGACACGUGCGGCGCCGUCUGCCACACAGUGUACCGACACCGCCGCUGGUUUAACGGUACAUCGGCGACAAAGGAACUGCGCCUACUCGGCCGGGACCUGGAGACGACGAUCAUCGUUGAGAACACCCCAGACUGCUGCCGCGGCUACGAGAGAAACGCUGUGCUUGUCGAGGACUACGAGGGCGGCGAGCUCGCAGAUCACACGCUCCAUACGCUGCUAGCUCUGCUGCGGGACCUCGUCGAGCGCCAUGAAAAGGAUGGAAUCACUGUGCCCGAGUACAUCGCCACGACGCCGCGCCUUGCGCAACAGAAUGUCUUGACGGACAAGGGCACCGUGAUGCAGGCGUACUGCCUACUCGGCGCCGAGGAUGAGUGUGCUGCGCCGUACUCGACUGUGUCGAAAUACCCGCGCAUCAACCGCGACCAUUUGGCCAGCGCUUUCCCUCGCCCUGCGCAACAGCCGUCACGCAUCCGACCAGCGGGUUCACUGGGCAUCAGGCGAAAGCACGCCUGUCAACAACGAGUGGUGUACUAGAGAGACUCCAAGCCUCACGUCUACCCGCCGCUCACUCACAAGUGCAGAAAGGGAGUGACGAAGCACUAAAAGCCAGCAAUCACGCUCGUCGUCUUUGAGCGUGUGCUGUUGAGUGCGCCUCCGGCUGCCGCAGCUGCUCUUCGUGUACCCCAUCAACGUUUUCAUGCUCUCGAUCUCUCUCUCUUUCGCACUACGAACCGCAGUGUCCCUCUCUCUCUCUCCCUCUCCCUCUCGCCGUUUCCUCGCGGCUGACUUCUUUCGGAAGUCGCGAGAUUGCAGUGUGCACCGUUUCACGACUGUAUCUUGCGAGUUGCACUCAUGCAUGUUUGUUCCUUCGUACUUUCAUUUCGCUGCAUUGGUGCCUUUCUCGUUUUCUUCUCCCUUUGAUUGCCCUCAGUUUUCUUUUUUUUUUCGUUUACGCCUCUCCACUUCCGCCUUGUUCAUCCCCUCGCCUCCGGCUUCCGAGAUUGUGGAAGAUCAGUGUCUCCGUCACUGCCCUUUUUCUUGUUCGCUUCAACAAGAAGCACCCGGCAAAAAGUAGUAUCUUCGGCUUUGUUUUUCUUUCCGCGGGAUGCGUCCCCGUCUCCCCACAGUGGCGUCCUUGCAACGACUCCUCGCUGUUGGUCUGUUCUCCGGCACACACUCUCAGCGACGCAGACGGAGUUGGCGGAUUCACCAGAGUGGCGAGUGCACCGGUAUAUUUUCUCUCACCUUCUGUUUAGCUGUGUAGGCGUGCGGUUCGCGUUUGCUGAUUUGGUUUCCGCGUGUGUCGGCAAGAGUGGUCCCGCAGACAAACGAGCUUCGACGAUCUCCACGCGCGCGCCUUUCACUUUUCUUCUGUAUUUUUUUUUUUUGCGAGACUUCACUUUCUGAAUGCUCUGUCGGUCGUGGGUGUGCUUGUGCAAUAAACGGGGCAUGCGGCGGCUCUCGCAUGCCCAGUGCGACACCGUGCGGCUUUUGGAGUAACAGGAAGCGGCGGCGGCGCAGAGUGGACUGUAGUUAACCGACGAAGGCAAUUAUCAAGAACGAGGCACUGAGCUCCAGCGCUAAACAGCUUGAGGCUCUUUCUUUUUUUUUUCGUGUGUGCGUAACAAGAACAGGGAUGGAAUGGCUCGGCUUGUCCGACGUGCGCGAGGUUAGCGGAGAGAGCUGACGGCCACUUCCACACCUCUUCCGAGGUUUCGCAAGUUUUGUUUACUGUUUUCUUUUUUCUUGCUUUUUUGAAGUCUUUGCUUUCCACAGAGAAGGCUCGGCCAGAGUGCGCAUGUGUACCUGGGAGCGUCUGGAAGGAAAAGGUGCGUCUGCCAUGAAGAAGCAAGCGACCCAGCGAGUGUACUGCCCUCUCCUUUCAGUGCUGACCAGGUCACACGAGAGCACAAACCAUCUUCCCUCUUCUUUUCUCUUUCGCUUCUUAGUGUCACAUAGUUUCACGUAUCUUCCACCGAGGCCAUAAAUGGAAAUUCACAAAAGUGAGAAACAAGAAGUGCUUCCUGUUUUUGUCUUGUGCCGUUUUUGUGUGUGUGUGCGUGUAUUCUUUGUAUCUUCUCUUUCCCCUCUUCGUUUGCGUGAAUGCUUGGUCGUGCAUUGGCUCGUGUGCGAGAUGUGCCGUGCGACACGUGUGGGCCUCUCUCCUCCUCCGCACCCCACCACUGACCAACGCACGCGUGCACUUUCUCUGUUCUGUUCAUGUCUUCUCUCUUGGUGUUGCUUUUCUUUUUUAUCUUAUUGUGCGCAUGAAUUUGCGUGAGUGCUACAUCAUGUGCUUCUUUCAUGUUUCUCUUCGCCUUUUCCUUUCGCUUUUCAAUGCAUGGUGCAUUUCGUUUCCUACCUCGGCGGCGAGCACGCCCCGCGGGAGUACACAUCCAAGCAACAACAACCGCGAUGACAGCGACAGCCCGCUCACCUGUGCUCGCUCUCGCUACCGUGGAAACGACACAAAGGCGUCACACACACACACACACACACACACACUGUAGUAGGAACAUUACAGAAAAGAGCACGAAAUUAAUACAUAUGUAGAGAGAAGAGACAGAAGAGGGAUCGGAAAGGCUCCGUGUAGCGCUUAAUGGUUCUGCGGAGGCGACUACCCGAUCGCUGUACAGCGCGCCGCUUUCAAUCAAGUGCCUUUUUUGGUUUGCCAAGUGUGGGAUGAUGACGUGCCUUUUUCUCUUUUUUUUCGAUCUUCUCCGUCUGUGUGUGUGUGUGUUUAUUCAAUGCUUGUCUCCGUGUUCCAUUAUCUCUCCGACAAUCGUGUCUCUCUUCUCCUCUCUGUCAUCGUGUUCCUUUGUUUGCUGCUUUCGUACUCGGUGCCGGCUGAAGGCGUGCUCUGCAUAUGCGCGUGUGUUUGGUGUUUCCUUCAGCUUAUCUGAAGAGGUAGGUCGACGUCAACUCAGAGAUGUACCAAAAAAAAACAAAGAAAACAGAAGACCCACACUUACCUGCCAAGCGAAACACACACACACACACACACAACUAAAAUCACUACACGACAGUCUUUUCACCUUUUUUCUUCCCUAUCUCUGCAUCAUUCUCUUUUCUUUCAUCGUUCUGUUUAACAUAUCUUUCCCAUAUGAUGCUAGAACUCUUAGUCCUCUUUUUUUUGUAGGGUCUGUGAAGUGUUGUUCUUGACUGACGUUAUUUGCUUGUGCACCUCCUCCUCCUCUCUCUCUCUGUCGUCCUUUCCUCGCUAUCUUCCCUCCUACAUAUAUAUAUAUAUAUAUAUCGCGCAGGAACUUCUUACGUUUCGAUUUCAUCUCCCUUUUUUCUCUUUGUAUGUGCUGUCUGUUCCUUAGUUGUCUAAUGUGCCAUUACGAGUUUACUACACGUCUUCUCUGUCUGAGUGCUGGUGCUUGAUAGUGUGGGACGUACGUCUUGUGUGUGUCUUCGUGUCUUUGUAUUGUUUUUUUUUUGUUGUUGUUGUUGCUGUCUCUCUCGCCCUCGCUUUCGCUUGAUUUUUAGUUUGAACGUUGCUGAGGUAAGUGGGAGAAGGCUCAGUGUGCACAUCCGUUGGCUUUUACACAGGGGAGCAGAUGAUACAGUGAGUCGGAGUCACAGGUUUUGCGUCGCUGAACCCUUCAAUCUCGUCUCCGCCACUCAACUUCCGAAGGUGUGCGCACUAAAGGAUGAGGAAGGCACCCAAACUGGAAGCAACAUCUUUCUAUUCUAAGGGAGUGCGCUCUUUAUUUUUCUCUGUUUGCUGCGUGAGUGUGCCUUCACAUUCACCAUUGUACGAUCCAGGCCAUCGUUGUGCAUUUUCGUAGUAGACCUCAAACCUCCAAUUUUUCCUCCUUUUCUUGCUCUUACGUGUAUUAUCGUUUCACGCUACCUUUUUAAUGUUCCCUUUUCGUGUGUCUCUUCUUUUUUCCAACCUUUACAUGCUUCAACAUGUGCCACCGAUGAGAACACAGCGUGAUGCUUCAGCGUCACAGCGUGGCUGCAGCUGCCCAAUCGAUCCGGAAAAGAAAGGAAAAAAUUAAAGCGGAAGGGGAAGAUGUGCGAGAGAAAUGUGGAUGUGCAUAGCUGAACAAGGGACAGCGUGAGAGGAGAUGCGCAACAAAAAGGAAAAAAGAAAAGGCCACGCGUGAUCUCUUCCUCAUGUGUAGCUGCUGUCGUCGUCGUGGCUAUGCACUGGGGGCCUAUACCGCCUUCGCAGGCCAGCGUCUUGGCGCAGUAUCUUCUCUGUUACACCACAGCUAUGCCGUCUUCUCUCCCUUUCUUUCGCACUCCGUCAACUCAGCUACCCCGCGAGUGUGAAGCACGGGAUUUAAGGUAGCAGCCGGAGGGUCGUUGUGAGGACUGCCACUUAACCCUGUAACUUAUACCUUUUCUCUGUGAGCAUGUAGGUGUGGCACUCCCUCUUCCUUGAGCAGGCGGUACCUGCGCUUGGUGUUCGUUAAUGGCGCCAACUUGGCUUAUCCGCGCGCUCUGAGCCUCCCGUUCUCUCGCCUCAUUCGGCUUGUACUCCCUUCCUUCCUCUGCCUUCAGUUUGAACUCGCGUUGAGUGUCGACUCUGAAAACGGUCCAGCGUGUUUCACAGCAACCACAGCCUUCUUCCUCUCUCGCUCUCCCUACAUCUCAUUGCGUUGCUGCUCCGUGUGUCAAGAAAAACUACGCUACACAAGAGAAAAAUUCGAAAAUGUGGGCAUCUUCUUCUCGUUCCUUUCACGGUUUUCAUUCCCGGCUCACGUGCUUUUCUUUUUGUCGCCUUUCAUUUUUGUAAGUUGCAUUUGAAGGUGACGGAGUACGUGCCGCCAACCAGCUCGAACCUCCAGUGCACGACCGCUUUUCUUCCUUCUGAUGCUGUUAUGUGAUUCCAUUGCCCCUCUUUCGUUUUGUUUUUCUUUUCCUGUACGGUUCUCUUGUGCGUGCAGCCGUAGGUGUGAGCUCGUCCGUGCGUUGACGCAUGUUCACUAACACAGGAUGCAGACAUGUUGGUGUUCUUCGUCUCUGUCCAUUUUCUCUAUGCCUUCAUGCGUGCAUGCGGCCCUUGACGAGAUAGGGAGAUUGAUGCUGUGAGAGAGUUGGAAUCAGUGCAGCCGUGCGUAGAGGGUGUAUGCGCGGAACAACUUCUUUGGAGGGGUGGUGGUGGUGCGACGCGAAUGCCAUCAUUCUCUCCACCCCCACCCCCUUCCUCUUUUAUGGUUAUGCGUACCGUCUGUGGGGGUGGGGUGGGGCCGGUGACGACAACGACCCGCAGACGUGUAGGAUUUCAACGCAGAAACAGAGCUCAAGCUGGGAGCACAGCAAGCCAUACGCCAUUUGCAGGGAAAACGCACCUGAAGAGUUCUGGCUACUUGUAUCCGGUAAAGCCCCUCUUUCUAUUUGACCCCCCCCCUUCUAUCUCGGCUUCAUUUUGAUCCAUCAGCGUGUUUUGUUGUUCGUUUUCCUUCCACCCCUUUCCUUUUUCUCGUGCUCGUGCUAGUCUGUCUUCCGCCCUGCUCAACGCGCAAUGUAACAACUUUCUCUAUUUUUUCUUUUUCCUCGUAGCGUUUUACGUUUCUAGCUUUCACCGCUCUCGCGUUUUUGGUCUGUAUUGGCGCGGAAAGGGCUUCGUUCCUCGCCUCUCCCACCCCUUUCUCGAUCCCAGCUCCACCUACGUUUUCCUCUUCCUCUUCAGGUCUAGCUCACAGAUCCGCGCUGAGAUGCCUCUCGGUCGUUUACAGCGAAAGCCCAGUUAGGAAGGGGCUCCUGCGCAGUGCACACGCUGACUUCAUACUUUUUUUUCUCUUUCCUCUCUUGGUCUUCGCUUCGCCAAAGGUCGCUCGGAGUGCUCAUGGCCACGAUCUUUCCGCCAGCCAUCACACACACACGUGACCACCACUCGUCUUCUUCGCUCUCUUCUAUACCCUAGCGCACCUUUACCUCUCGUCGGCCUUUUUUUUCCUUUUCGUUCCCCCAAAGCGCCUCGACGUGUCAUCGAUACUCGUGUGCGUCUCCUGGUCUAGCAGGGAUGGGUGGUGGGCUCUCGUCCUGGGCAACGCUGCUGGUGGUGGGGGGAAAGACUUGUUUUCGACACCAUUCGCUCUUCUCUUUGCCUUAUGCUUGCUUUUGGUCUCUGUCGUCGGCUCUGUUUUCUUCUUCGCACCUGCUUUGACUUAUCAGAGCCGAUGCAGGACUUGUCACGUGCUCCAGUGGUGGCCUGUGGAGGCGGUGACCGCCGUGGAUAGCCGAGCUCUUGCCCAGGUACAGGGCCCUGAAAUGCUCUUCCGUAUCUUAUCCAUUUCUUGUCUUGCUGUACUAGUUUUUUUUUUUGCUUUGUGUCUCUCGUCGUUCGUGAUGGAAGAGUGCGUGGCUGCCGCACAGGCCGCCGUACCUAUACGAGGAUAAAGCAGGCACACACCGGUGAAUCCUCUUGUGGUGCGCGACGGCAUUUGUUUGUUUUAUCUCUCUUAUUUUUGUCCACGGACGCUUGCCUUCUUUUUCGCGGAAAAAGAGGGAAAACGGUGGCCGGGCUUGACUUAGCCUUGUAUGCACACGCGUGCACGGAUGAUUGCCGUACUCUUAUUUCUCUCGUCUUCAUAGAUUUGUGCACUCUUUCGGCAUACCGCCUGUCUUUUAUUGCUGUUGUCGUCUCCCGUUCAUCGCCUCUCCUCCACUGACGUGGUUGCUUCUCAAUUAUCUUCUCUCCUUUCUUCUCUUGUGAGGCUUUUUGUUUGCGAGGUGCCCCGUCUGUGUGGCUGUGCGGGCCUCCUUGCGUUUUGGCACUGUUGUUGUCCGUGUUUUUGUUUGCGAUGUUGCACGCGUGUACUUGUGCGCCACCCAUCGGUUAGUGCGCCUUUCUCCCUUCACCCCUCGCCUUCGUCUGCUUUUUUUCUUUUUUCUCCUUCUAUUCACCCUGUGGCCUCGCAGUGUUUCGUGUUCAAUGGUUUCUCGCUUGUGGCUGACUCUUGUUCUCUUGUCUCUAUUCUGUGGAUGUUCUGUUUUUUUUUUUAUGUGCACCUGCUGCUCUGGUGCCGGUGAUGGAUGCGGCGGAUCGACUUUGUUUUCAUCGCGUUUAGUCCUUGUUUUUCUGUGAACAAACCGUUAUGGCGCUCCGCCUCGCUUCCGGACGACGCGCAAGUUAUUCCACUCGUGUGCUCCUUCUGUGCGCCCUUCAGAUUUACCUUUCCCUUUUUUCACGCUCUCCUGUGGUUUAUCUGCUUUUUCCCCCUUUCCGUUUCACGCGCACUUGAGCAGCAUGUCACGUGCCUUUUGUUUUGUGUGUGGUGGCGCGGUGCACUGUGGACUUCUUUUGUUUGGGAUUGUAGUGGCUGAGCUCUUUUUUGCCAUCCCGUCGGUUCGCUGUCAACGCCACGAUCUGCCGCAUCUGCUGCUUAGUGCUUGAAUUUUCUUUCGUUUUAUUCGCUUCACGAUCCUUCCUCCCUCGUUCCUGUUUCUUGCUCAGCGAUGUCUUCUCCGUUCUCUUCUUCCUCCAAGGCAUCUGCUUGCGUCACGCUGCCGCGAACGUGUCUCGGACGAGUUGCUCGCGCAACUACGAGAGCAGAUGGAGCACCGAGCGCAAAGGGAGUCAACUAUCGACUUUGGUACGGUCUUCGUUUUUUUUUGUUUAUGCCGUCUUUACGGGCCCUUCUUUUUUGUUGUUUUCUCGUCGCGGUUGCGCGUUGGCUCUCACUCUCUGUUUUCCGCGUGUGUGGGCAUGUUCUUUUUUUUUUGGCGCGUGCUGAACGGACUUGGGCAUUGCGCUUUCCUGUAGCCUUUUGGUUUUCUCGUUUCCCUUGUUUGUUUUUGUUUGCAGCUCUGUGGGAGAGCUGCCGCGCACACCUCACCCCCUUUCCCACCCCUCGGGCAAGAGAAAAGAAAAAGGGUAGCGUGGCUAGUGGAACGAAUAACACAGCGCUCGGGAGGACGUCGCUGGGAUAAGCGAAGAGAUGGCGACGAUGAGACAGGUCAUUUGGAGGUGAGGUCGGUGUUUGGCAGUGAGGAAUCUAGUUGCCGCUGCUCUCAUCUCCAAGCACGUCCCCCUUUUCCCUUUCCGGCGGCUUACUUCACCGUAUCACCGCUCGUGUGCUCGUUUUCUUCUGCUGUCGACAAGGUGACCGCAAACUGACUGACGAUAUGCAUGCAAAGACGACGGAUUGUUGCCCCGCCGGCCUUCACGAUACUCACCCUCUUCUUUUUUUAUUCCCGUUGUGUGUUGGCGUCUCUCCCUGUCUCUUUCUCAACGUACAAAUUUGCCUUUUUUGCUUCUUUGUUGGCCAGCGCCCUUCCCGGCGCCGUUUCUUCUCCUCUUCGCUUACUUCGUCUCGUCUUCCUUGUGUGACUGUAAUGAUUCAAGUACGCGGGGACUGCACACACAGACACACAUAUCUAGAUGCGCCUAUGUUUGCGUGUGUCUGCGGCUUUAUCUCUGUGUUUGUGUGCUGACGCCCCAUUCUCAAGCCGGACUCCAUCCCACAACAGACGGCCAUCGGGCUCACUCACAGUCACGUUGUGUUCUGCUGGCAUGCUUGUAGACUUGCCUGUAUCUCUGUGCUGGUCAAACGCACAUCAUGGCGAGGCGUGAAGCAAAGAGGGAAGAGCGUGCAAUGGCACUUGCCGCGCGGUCGCCAUAAUGCGUCACCUUCGGCUUUCCCUUGGUUCGCCCUGUCUUAUUCACUCUUGUUCUGAUGGGGGUGAGUGAGCGGCUGACUGAGUCGAAGAAUGCCGCUGCGCCCACGCGUGCCCGUCGCCUGGCUUCCGAGGGGAAACUGCGUGCUCUGCCCGCCACACACACUUUUAUGUCUUUUCUCAGCGCUUUUUUUCCUUCUAGCUUUCUGCCUUCCCAUGUGUAUUCGUACUUGUGUGCGCGUGUGCGUGCGUAGGGGUUUCCGUUGCCAUGCACACUCGCUCUUCUUUGCCUUUUUACAUAUGUGUGUUGUUUGGUGCCCUGAUCUCUCUUUCUCCGCUCUCUCAGUGUCGCUAUUACAGCCUUACGCACAUGUGCUGACUCAUGGGUGCUCUGCGAGUUUUAUGCAUCCCAAAGGCAAGAACGAACAGCAUGUGCACGAACGUGCACACGCCUUCGCACACGCAUCCAUACUGGGCCCUUCGAGAUGGUGCUGAUCAGAGAAGCACGUGCGCGUGUAGCUGCACAAAAUGUACUCUCGCUCGUUUUUCUUCCUCAGCUCUUCUCUCUUCCCCUUUCGGUCGUCGCCCUCUCUCUACCAAGACGCAACGGCGAUGCCGGCGUCGACCUUUUUUUUUACAACGCCUCUUGUUCUUUUUUGUGCUUGUGAUUAUCGACAUGUCUUUUCGUUUGGUUCAGGAACAGGAGUGCUUGACAACAAC